AGCCUCUGCCACAGCGAGGUCCCCAUGCCGGGGCCACCCCUCCAUCCUGGCCAAGUCUGUGUGGGCUCCUUGUUUUCCUUGAGAAAAGGUGCAGGAAUGCCACAUGGUGGAGGCAGGAAAAAGAACAGGCCAUGCUGUCUCCCCGUCUAACCCCCAUUCCCCCUGCCUGCCUCUCCAACUGUGGGGCCUAAACGCCCCCACAAGCUCAGGGCGCCACUCCCCAGGUGGAGGCUGGAGGCCCUUGUGUGUUUCAGAGUCACAUGGUACACCUCUAAUCCCCUGUGCGCCAGGACUCUGAUCUGACUGACUGCUUCUAACUUUGUAAUAUACUUCAUCAUCUGGGUUGGUAGAAUAUUAAUACAUAUUCAGUACUUAAGAUUUCCACCGCUCACACACAUACAUGGUUCUUACUACAGCCAAUGUAUUAGCACAUUCAAUCCCCACAAUCCAUGAGGCUGGUACUGUUAUCAGCCAGGAAAGG
rnacentral:lncRNA from 1 species